UAAAAAAUUUCGACCGAACUCCAAGGGGUAAUUUUCAAGAAUCUCCACCUAUUCUACCUUACACAUUGGCUAAAAGAAAGAACACCUUUUCUCCGAGGCUCAAAUCAAGGUUCUAAGGAUAAUUUCGAUAAAAAGGUCGGCUUGAAAGGCUCAAACGGUUCAAAGAAGGCCCAAAUCAUAUCCCAAAUCACUCACUACUCAAUACUUCGUAUCAUAAAUUUCCUAAGGUGAGUCUUAAAACCGAACAUAGCAUGAUCUAGCACAAAUUAAUUCUAAAUUUAAAAUACAAAACAUUCAACCAAAGCAAUGCACAAAAUGUGAUUCCUAGCAAUAAUUCGCUUCUAAGUCCCGUUGAAUCGAAAGCUAAACAAACAUCAAAUCCUUAUCACACAAAACAAGCGAUCUCAUCAUCAAACAUUGAUCAUCU
rnacentral:lncRNA from 1 species